rnacentral:rRNA from 1 species
CAUAUGGUAGGAGAGCGUUCCGUAAGCCUGAGAAGGUGUCUUGUAAAGGAUGCUGGAGGUAUCGGAAGUGCGAAUGCUGACAUGAGUAGCGAUAAAGAGGGUGAAAAGCCCUCUCGCCGAAAGCCCAAGGUUUCCUGUUCAACGUUCAUCGGAGCAGGGUGAGUCGGCCCCUAAGGCGAGGCAGAGAUGCGUAGCUGAUGGGAAGCAGGUUAAUAUUCCUGCACCGUCGUAUGAUGCGAUGGGGGGACGGAUCGCGGAAGGUUGUCCAACUGUUGGAAUAGUUGGUUUUUGACUCAUAGAAGGCGCUUAGGCAAAUCCGGGCGCAUAAUUCAAGGGGUCGAGACGGGUGCCCAUGUGGCACGAAGCAAUCGGAAGUGGUUCCAAGAAAAGCCUCUAAGCUUCAGUCAUACGAGACCGUACCGCAAACCGACACAGGUGGGCGAGAUGAGUAUUCUAAGGCGCUUGAGAGAACUCGGGAGAAGGAACUCGGCAAAUUGGUACCGUAACUUCGGGAUAAGGUACGCCCCGGUAGCUUGACUGCUUUACUGCAGAAGGGUGAAAGGGUUGCAAUAAACUGGUGGCUGCGACUGUUUAAUAAAAACACAGCACUCUGCAAACACGAAAGUGGACGUAUAGGGUGUGACGCCUGCCCGGUGCUGGAAGAUUAAAUGAUGGGGUGCAAGCUCUUGAUUGAAGUCCCAGUAAACGGCGGCCGUAACUAUAACGGUCCUAAGGUAGCGAAAUUCCUUGUCGGGUAAGUUCCGACCUGCACGAAUGGCGUAACGAUGGCCACACUGUCUCCUCCCGAGACUCAGCGAAGUUGAAAUGUUUGUGAUGAUGCAAUCUACCCGCGGCUAGACGGAAAGACCCCAUGAACCUUUACUGUAGCUUUGCAUUGGACUUUGAACCAAUCUGUGUAGGAUAGGUGGGAGGCUUUGAAGCGGGGACGCCAGUUCUCGUGGAGCCAACCUUGAAAUACCACCCUGGUUCGUUUGAGGUUCUAACCUUGGCCCGUGAUCCGGGUCGGGGACAGUGCAUGGUAGGCAGUUUGACUGGGGCGGUCUCCUCCUAAAGUGUAACGGAGGAGUUCGAAGGUACGCUAGGUACGGUCGGACAUCGUGCUAAUAGUGCAAUGGCAUAAGCGUGCUUAACUGCGAGACCGACAAGUCGAGCAGGUACGAAAGUAGGACAUAGUGAUCCGGUGGUUCUGUAUGGAAGGGCCAUCGCUCAACGGAUAAAAGGUACUCUGGGGAUAACAGGCUGAUUCCUCCCAAGAGUUCAUAUCGACGGGGGAGUUUGGCACCUCGAUGUCGGCUCAUCACAUCCUGGGGCUGUAGCCGGUCCCAAGGGUAUGGCUGUUCGCCAUUUAAAGUGGUACGUGAGCUGGGUUUAAAACGUCGUGAGACAGUUUGGUCCCUAUCUGCCGUGGGCGUUGGAAAUUUGAAGGGGGCUGCUCCUAGUACGAGAGGACCGGAGUGGACGAACCUCUGGUGUACCGGUUGUCACGCCAGUGGCAUUGCCGGGUAGCUAAGUUCGGAAGAGAUAACCGCUGAAAGCAUCUAAGCGGGAAACUCGCCUUGAGAUGAGAUUUCCCGGAGCCUUGAGCUCCUUGAAGGGUCGUUCGAGACCAGGACGUUGAUAGGUCGGGUGUGGAAGUGCAGUAAUGCAUUAAGCUAACCGAUACUAAUUGCCCGUACGGCUUGUCCCU